UACAAAUGAUGUAUAUCACGAUGGUCUUCCAAGCCUACGAGGCUGUGACGACAAUGCCAGAUGGCAAAACUGAUGUGACAGU